AAACCCAAAGGACUUGGCGGNNCUUUAGACCCACCUAGAGGAGCCUNUCCUAGAACCGAUACCCCCCGUUCAACCUCACCUCCCCUUGUUUUCCCCGUCUAUAUACCACCGUCGUCAGCUGACCCUGUGAGGACUAUAGUAAGCAGAGUUGGACAUNNNCCCCCAAUACGUCAGGUUGAGGUGUAGCGCAUCGAGGUGGGAAGAGAGAGCUACAUUCUCUAUC
rnacentral:rRNA from 1 species